rnacentral:rRNA from 1 species
UACGUAGGGUGCGAGCGUUAAUCGGAAUUACUGGGCGUAAAGCGUGCGCAGGCGGUUUUGUAAGCCAGAUGUGAAAUCCCCGGGCUUAACCUGGGAAUGGCAUUUGGGACUGCAAGGCUUGAGUGCGGCAGAGGAGACUGGAAUUCCUGGUGUAGUGGUGAAAUGCGUAGAGAUCUGGAGGAAUACCAGAGGCGAAGGCGGCUUGCUGGGGUGGAAUUGACGCUCAGACACGAAAGCAUGGGGAGCGAACGGG